rnacentral:rRNA from 1 species
UACGGAAGGGGCGAGCGUUGUUCGGAAUCAUUGGGCGUAAAGGGCGCGUAGGUGGCUCUGUAUGUCUACCGUGAAAGCGUACGGCUCAACCGUAUCUUGUCGGUAGAAACUGCAGGACUUGAGGCUGGGAGGGGCUGGUGGAAUUCCCUGUGUAGCGGUGAAAUGCGUAGAGAUCCGGAAGAACACCGGUGGCGAAGGCGGCCCGCUGGGCAACUGCUGACACUGAUGCGCGACAGCGUGGGGAGCAAACAGG